AUGGCGACCACUGUGUUUUCUGGAUCAACCUAUCCUACAGCUAAUGAGUUCUUUCUUCUAAUUGUGAAUGUUAAGAAGGUCCUCGAUGAUGCAUCUGCCUCUACAGAUAAAUUCUUGCAUGAUAUGGAAAAUGCUAUGCUUCAGAAAUUUGAGAAGUAUUGGAAAGAGUGCAGUACUUUGCUGUCAAUAGCGUCAAUUCUGGAUCCAAGGUACAAGAUGGAUCUAAUUAAUUUCUGUUUUCCCAAGAUAUAUGUUGCUAGUGACAUUGAACACAACAUUGACUCAGUAAGUUCAACACUGAAGGAGUUGUAUGAACAUUAUGAGAGUGACCACACAGCCAACUUGGUUGCAGCAGAAAAGAAAGUGGAUAAUCAGGCCGUCGCUUCAGAAAAUGAGACAUCAAGCAAUAGUCUCAUGGCAAUUUCAACUCAGUUUCGUACCUUCAUGAAGACUACUGCUAAAAAGGUUUCCAAGUCAGAUCUAGUUGCAUACUUAGAUGAGGCUGCACUUAAUCAUUCAGAAGACUUUGAUGUGCUACUUUGGUGGAAGCAAAAUUCAUCAAGGUAUCCAAUACUAUCCAAGGUUGUGAAAGAUAUUCUUACUGUGCCAGUCAGUACUGUUUCUUCGGAAUCAUCAUUUAGUACCGGAGGCAGAGUGCUUGAUAAUUAUAGAAGCUCUUUACUCCCAAAUACUGUUGAGGCUUUGGUGUGUUCAGCUAGUUGGAUUAGAGGCUCCCAAAAGAAAAAGAAAGCUAACAAGGAUAAAGAAGACCAGGGUGACUUACUUGAAGUUCCUUUUCUGGAUAAAGAUCCUUCGAUCGUUUCUACAGACUAG
rnacentral:rRNA from 1 species